rnacentral:rRNA from 1 species
GGUUAAGCGACUAAGCGUACACGGUGGAUGCCCUGGCAGUCAGAGGCGAUGAAGGGCGUGCUAAUCUGCGAUAAGCGCCGGUAAGGUGAUAUGAACCGUUAUAACCGGCGAUACCCGAAUGGGGAAACCCAGUGUGACUCGUCACACUAUCAUUAACUGAAUCCAUAGGUUAAUGAGGCGAACCGGGGGAACUGAAACAUCUAAGUACCCCGAGGAAAAGAAAUCAACCGAGAUUCCCCCAGUAGCGGCGAGCGAACGGGGAGGAGCCCAGAGCCUGAAUCAGCAUGUGUGUUAGUGGAAGCGUCUGGAAAGGCGCGCGAUACAGGGUGACAGCCCCGUACACAAAAGCGCAUGUGCUGUGAGCUCGAUGAGUAGGGCGGGACACGUGGUAUCCUGUCUGAAUAUGGGGGGACCAUCCUCCAAGGCUAAAUACUCCUGACUGACCGAUAGUGAACCAGUACCGUGAGGGAAAGGCGAAAAGAACCCCGGCGAGGGGAGUGAAAAAGAACCUGAAACCGUGUACGUACAAGCAGUGGGAGCACAGGUUUACCUGUGUGACUGCGUACCUUUUGUAUAAUGGGUCAGCGACUUAUAUUCUGUAGCAAGGUUAACCGUAUAGGGGAGCCGCAGGGAAACCGAGUCUUAACCGGGCGUUAAGUUGCAGGGUAUAGACCCGAAACCCGGUGAUCUAGUCAUGGGCAGGUUGAAGGUUGGGUAACACUAACUGGAGGACCGAACCGACUAAUGUUGAAAAAUUAGCGGAUGACCUGUGGCUGGGGGUGAAAGGCCAAUCAAACCGGGAGAUAGCUGGUUCUCCCCGAAAGCUAUUUAGGUAGCGCCUCGUGAAUUCAUCUCCGGGGGUAGAGCACUGUUUCGGCUAGGGGGCCAUCCCGGCUUACCAACCCGAUGCAAACUGCGAAUACCGGAGAAUGUUAUCACGGGAGACACACGGCGGGUGCUAACGUCCGUCGUGAAGAGGGAAACAACCCAGACCGCCAGCUAAGGUCCCAAAGUCAUGGUUAAGUGGGAAACGAUGUGGGAAGGCCCAGACAGCCAGGAUGUUGGCUUAGAAGCAGCCAUCAUUUAAAGAAAGCGUAAUAGCUCACUGGUCGAGUCGGCCUGCGCGGAAGAUGUAACGGGGCUAAACCAUGCACCGAAGCUGCGGCAGCGAACGUAUCACUUAAAGCGAUUCAGCGGGUUACGAUUGACGGAGCGAAGCGACGUCAAAGCGUAUACAAAGUCGAGUCGGUUUAAGGAUACGUUCGUUGGGUAGGGGAGCGUUCUGUAAGCCUGUGAAGGUGGCCUGUGAGGGUUGCUGGAGGUAUCAGAAGUGCGAAUGCUGACAUAAGUAACGAUAAAGCGGGUGAAAAGCCCGCUCGCCGGAAGACCAAGGGUUCCUGUCCAACGUUAAUCGGGGCAGGGUGAGUCGACCCCUAAGGCGAGGCCGAAAGGCGUAGUCGAUGGGAAACGGGUUAAUAUUCCCGUACUUGGUGUUACUGCGAAGGGGGGACGGAGAAGGCUAUGUUGGCCGGGCGACGGUUGUCCCGGUUUAAGCGUGUAGGUGUGUGUUCCAGGUAAAUCCGGUUCACUUUAACACUGAGGCGUGAUGACGAGGCACUACGGUGCUGAAGCAACAAAUGCCCUGCUUCCAGGAAAAGCCUCUAAGCAUCAGGUAACAUCAAAUCGUACCCCAAACCGACACAGGUGGUCAGGUAGAGAAUACCAAGGCGCUUGAGAGAACUCGGGUGAAGGAACUAGGCAAAAUGGUGCCGUAACUUCGGGAGAAGGCACGCUGACACGUAGGUGAAGUGAUUUACUCAUGGAGCUGAAGUCAGUCGAAGAUACCAGCUGGCUGCAACUGUUUAUUAAAAACACAGCACUGUGCAAACACGAAAGUGGACGUAUACGGUGUGACGCCUGCCCGGUGCCGGAAGGUUAAUUGAUGGGGUCAGCGCAAGCGAAGCUCCUGAUCGAAGCCCCGGUAAACGGCGGCCGUAACUAUAACGGUCCUAAGGUAGCGAAAUUCCUUGUCGGGUAAGUUCCGACCUGCACGAAUGGCGUAAUGAUGGCCAGGCUGUCUCCACCCGAGACUCAGUGAAAUUGAACUCGCUGUGAAGAUGCAGUGUACCCGCGGCAAGACGGAAAGACCCCGUGAACCUUUACUAUAGCUUGACACUGAACAUUGAGCCUUGAUGUGUAGGAUAGGUGGGAGGCUUUGAAGUGUGGACGCCAGUCUGCAUGGAGCCGACCUUGAAAUACCACCCUUUAAUGUUUGAUGUUCUAACGUGGACCCGUAAUCCGGGUUGCGGACAGUGUCUGGUGGGUAGUUUGACUGGGGCGGUCUCCUCCUAAAGAGUAACGGAGGAGCACGAAGGUUGGCUAAUCCUGGUCGGACAUCAGGAGGUUAGUGCAAUGGCAUAAGCCAGCUUGACUGCGAGCGUGACGGCGCGAGCAGGUGCGAAAGCAGGUCAUAGUGAUCCGGUGGUUCUGAAUGGAAGGGCCAUCGCUCAACGGAUAAAAGGUACUCCGGGGAUAACAGGCUGAUACCGCCCAAGAGUUCAUAUCGACGGCGGUGUUUGGCACCUCGAUGUCGGCUCAUCACAUCCUGGGGCUGAAGUAGGUCCCAAGGGUAUGGCUGUUCGCCAUUUAAAGUGGUACGCGAGCUGGGUUUAGAACGUCGUGAGACAGUUCGGUCCCUAUCUGCCGUGGGCGCUGGAGAACUGAGGGGGGCUGCUCCUAGUACGAGAGGACCGGAGUGGACGCAUCACUGGUGUUCGGGUUGUCAUGCCAAUGGCACUGCCCGGUAGCUAAAUGCGGAAGAGAUAAGUGCUGAAAGCAUCUAAGCACGAAACUUGCCCCGAGAUGAGUUCUCCCUGAGACUUAGAGUCUCCUGAAGGAACGUUGAAGACGACGACGUUGAUAGGCCGGGUGUGUAAGCGCAGCGAUGCGUUGAGCUAACCGGUACUAAUGAACCGUGAGGCUUAACCUU